rnacentral:rRNA from 1 species
GAUGAACGCUAGCGGCGGGCUUAAUACAUGCAAGUCGAGGGGCAGCAUGAUUGUAGCAAUACAAUUGAUGGCGACCGGCAAACGGGUGCGGAACACGUACACAACCUCCCAAUAAGUGGGGAAUAGCCCAGAGAAAUUUGGAUUAAUACCCCGUAACAUAACGAUGUGGCAUCACAUUGUUAUUAUAGAUUUUUCGCUUAUUUAUGGGUGUGCGGCUGAUUAGAUAGUUGGCGGGGUAACGGCCCACCAAGUCUACGAUCAGUAGCGGAUGUGAGAGCAUGAUCAGCCACACGGGCACUGAGACACGGGCCCGACUCCUACGGGAGGCAGCAGUAAGGAAUAUUGGACAAUGGACGCAAGUCUGAUCCAGCCAUGCCGCGUGAAGGAUUAAGGUCCUCUGGAUUGUAAACUCCUUUUAUAAGGGACGAAAAAAGGCUUUUCUAAGUCGUCUGACGGUACCUUAUGAAUAAGCACCGGCUAACUCCGUGCCAGCCGCCGCAGUAACAC